rnacentral:rRNA from 1 species
AUUGAACGCUGGCGGAAUGCCUUACACAUGCAAGUCGAACGGCAGCACGGACUUCGGUCUGGUGGCGAGUGGCGAACGGGUGAGUAAUACAUCGGAACGUGCCCAAUCGUGGGGGAUAACGUAGCGAAAGCUACGCUAAUACCGCAUACGAUCUAAGGAUGAAAGCGGGGGAUCGCAAGACCUCGCGCGAUUGAAGCGGCCGAUGGCAGAUUAGGUAGUUGGUAGGGUAAAGGCCUACCAAGCCGACGAUCUGUAGCUGGUCUGAGAGGAUGAUCAGCCACACUGGGACUGAGACACGGCCCAGACUCCUACGGGAGGCAGCAGUGGGGAAUUUUGGACAAUGGACGCAAGUCUGAUCCAGCCAUUCCGCGUGCAGGAUGAAGGCCCUCGGGUUGUAAACUGCUUUUGUACAGAACGAAAAGGCUCUGGUUAAUACCUAGGGCUCAUGACGGUACUGUAAGAAUAAGCACCGGCUAACUACGUGCCAGCCGCCGCAGUAA